ensembl:lncRNA
GGCUAGGGGUCUAAUCGGAGCUGUAGCCACCAGCCUAUGCCAGAGCCAUAGCCAUGUGGGAUCUGAGCUGUGUCUGCAACCUACACCACAGCUCACGGCAACACCAGAUCCUUAGCCCACUGAGCGAGGCCAAGGAUCGAACCUGCAACCUCAUGGUUCUUAGUUGGAUUCGUUAACCACUGAGCCACGAUGGGAACUCCUGAAAAAGAAUAUUUUUUAAAAAGUAUCCUUUCACGAAUAUACUUAACUAAGAUGUUUCUAUUUUGCCAUUUAUUUUGUCUUUCCCCUAAGCUUUUGGUAGACUAUUAACUGAAAAUCCAGUUGCUCCCUGUACAAAGAAAUGUCAUAUUAGUUUUGUGAGUUCGAAAGAGCCCUCCUGACUCUUUCCAAUUUCCAAUCACUCGUUUCCCUACUUCAGCAUCUGUCUUAGAGGAGAAAUAAAAGGUUUAUCUAUGCUUUGCACUUCUUACUUAGGAGUAGAGCAGUUUCAUAAUUCUUCUAUUGAUAAUUGAAUAAACUAAUCAAAUUUACUUACAUCUAAUAAGCUUAAGAAAUUAUUAGAGGAGUAUGAACCUUAUCUACUUUUACCCAAAGACAUUAAAAACACAUGGAAUACAUAUCAGCAUCAGCUACCUCUGGUGCGAUCUACGAAGCAAGGCACAUGCGUUCUGUGGUAUUCUUACCCAAAGUGUAGAAUCUUAACGUGUGCGCAAGAAAAUAUCCGAUAUACCCAAACUGAGGGGUGUGAGGCCAGCCAUCGUUCUCCCAAACCUCAGAUUAGUACUUUUCAAGACAUUCUGCUAAAGGAACGCAAGGAAGGAUAGAGAAACUGUUGGAGAUUGAAAGAAACUGCAGAGACCUGACAACUAAAUGCGUGGUGAGAUCCUGGGACCAAAAAAAGAGCAGUAGUGGAAAAGGAGGUAAAAUCUGAAUAAAGGCCGUAGUUUAGUGGAGCAGUAUUGUACCAGUGUCGGUCGCCCAGUUUGGGUAACUUUCUUGUGGCUACUCAGUAGGUUAUCCUCUGGACAAACCAGGUGAAGAGCGUGUGAACACUCCUUAUGCUACUUUUGCAACUUUUCUCUAAGUCUGCAUUAAUUAAAAAGAAUACUCGUACACUUGCCCAAGUGGCCUAUAGACACUUGCUUAUCCAGAUUUCAUUUUCUCCUUAUUUUGAGUUUGUGUUUCUUUCACAGUAUGGAGAAGUGGUUUAGCGUCCUAACUUAGACCUGAAAGAAGGCUGGGAGUUCCCGUGGCGGCACAGCAGAAGUGAAGCCGACUAGUAUCCAUGAGGAUGUAAGAUGCUCCUGACAAGGAUGAGGACGGAUCUCCAGUUUCCCAGCGACUGGAACAUGGGGAUCUCUGAGCUUGUCCAAGACUGAGCCUUGCAGGUUCUCUCCGAGACGACAUGGCUCAUAAUGGACGGUUCAAGCCAAAUUAUCCAUUAUUGUUCUCAAAGUUUACAAUUAAACUAUCGAUCAAAGCUGGCAGUGAUUCCUCCAGCAGCCCAAGCGCAGGGGCCGCCGAAUUGCAUCAGAACCCGAGUGCGUCCAGGCAGAAGCAGAGGAUGCAGAUGGACCAGACAGCAGCCUGACGGACACACAUACCCUCCACCCAUCACCCCGGGAUCCAGCAUCUGGUACUGUUCCUGGAGCCAGGACACGGGCUGCAACCCUGGGGUGCGUGGUCUGCGAGUGCGCGGGUGCGGUUUUAAUAGCGAGAGGUCCACGCAAUUUGCGACCCCCAUCCCUGGCUGGAAAAAUUGGAGUUUAACAGGUUCGGCUCCAUAGGGAACCAAGCUCAGCUUUUAGGCUCCUUCAGACACGGCAGAAUGCAUCUUUUCUGGGGAAUUCCACAAUAAAAUGACUGUUAUUUAUCAU